AUUGAACGCUGGCGGCAGGCUUAACACAUGCGAGUCGAGCGGGGUGAUGGUGCUUGCACUAUCACUUAGCGGCGGACGGGUGAGUAAUGCUUAGGAAUCUGCCUAUUAGUGGGGGACAACAUCUCGAAAGGGAUGCUAAUACCGCAUACGUCCUACGGGAGAAAGCAGGGGAUCACUUGUGACCUUGCGCUAAUAGAUGUGCCUAAGUCGGAUUAGCUAGUUGGUGGGGUAAAGGCCUACCAAGGCGACGAUCUGUAGCGGGUCUGAGAGGAUGAUCCGCCACACUGGGACUGAGACACGGCCCAGACUCCUACGGGAGGCAGUAGUGGGGAAUAUUGGACAAUGGGGGGAACCCUGAUCCAGCCAUGCCGCGUGUGUGAAGAAGGCCUUAUGGUUGUAAAGCACUUUAAGCGAGGAGGAGGCUCUUUUGGUUAAUACCCAAGAUGAGUGGACGUUACUCGCAGAAUAAGCACCGGCUAACUCUGUGCCAGCCGCCGCGGUAA
rnacentral:rRNA from 1 species